AUCUUUUCUUGGCUUUUUAGCUAAAAAAAAAAAAAAAAAUCUGUUCUUAUCAGUUUAAUAUCUGAUACGUCCCCUACCCGGGGACCAUAUAUUAAAUUGAUUUUUGGAGCAGGGAGAUGGAAUAGGGGCUUGCUCCGUCCACUCCACGCAUCGACCUGGUAUUGCAGUAUUUCUAGGAACGGUGCACCCCUG
rnacentral:snRNA from 1 species